UACAGAGGGGGCAAGCGUUGUUCGGAAUUACUGGGCGUAAAGCGCGCGUAGGCGGCUUUGUAAGUCAGAGGUGAAAUCCCGGGGCUCAACUCCGGAACUGCCUUUGAAACUGCAUCGCUUGAAUGUCGGAGAGGUGAGUGGAAUUCCGAGUGUAGAGGUGAAAUUCGUAGAUAUUCGGAAGAACACCAGUGGCGAAGGCGGCUCACUGGACGACUAUUGACGCUGAGGUGCGAAAGCGUGGGGAGCAAACAGG
rnacentral:rRNA from 1 species